rnacentral:rRNA from 1 species
GACGACGCUGGCGGCGUGCCUAUACAUGCAAGUAGACGCUGAAGGAGAGCCUUGCUUCUCCGGAUGAGUUGCGAACGGGUGAGUAACGCGUAGGUAACCUGCCUGGUAGCGGGGGAUAACUAUUGGAAACGAUAGCUAAUACCGCAUAACAGUAGAUAUUGCAUGAUAUCUGCUUGAAAGGUGCAAAUGCAUCACUACCAGAUGGACCUGCGUUGUAUUAGCUAGUUGGUGGGGUAACGGCUCACCAAGGCGACGAUACAUAGCCGACCUGAGAGGGUGAUCGGCCACACUGGGACUGAGACACGGCCCAGACUCCUACGGGAGGCAGCAGUAGGGAAUCUUCGGCAAUGGACGGAAGUCUGACCGAGCAACGCCGCGUGAGUGAAGAAGGUUUUCGGAUCGUAAAGCUCUGUUGUAAGAGAAGAACGAGUGUGAGAGUGGAAAGUUCACACUGUGACGGUAUCUUACCAGAAAGG